UUCCAGACUCCUACGGGAGGCAGCAGUCGGGAAUAUUGCGCAAUGGAGGAAACUCUGACGCAGUGACGCCGCGUGCAGGAAGAAGGAUUUCGGAUUGUAAACUGAUUUAGACAGGGAAGAGAAUGACAGUACCUGUAGAAUAAGCUCCGGCUAACUACGUGCCAGCAGCCGCGGUAAUACGUAGGGGGCAAGCGUUAUCCGGAUUUACUGGGUGUAAAGGGAGCGUAGACGGUUAUGCAAGUCUGAAGUGAAAGCCCAAGGCUCAACCAUGGGACUGCUUUGGAAACUGUAAAACUGGAGUGCAGGAGAGGUAAGCGGAAUUCCUAGUGUAGCGGUGAAAUGCGUAGAUAUUAGGAGGAACACCAGUGGCGAAGGCGGCUUACUGGACUGUAACUGACGUUGAGGCUCGAAGGCGUGGGGAGCAAACAGGAUUAGAUACCCCGGUAC
rnacentral:rRNA from 1 species